GAUGAAGAACGUAGCGAAAUGCGAUACUUGGUGUGAAUUGCAGAAUCCCGUGAACCAUCGAGUCUUUGAACGCAAGUUGCGCCCGAAGCCACUAGGCCGAGGGCACGCCUGCCUGGGCGUCACACGUCGUUGCCCCCCACCAUCUACUCCUUCGGGAUUGCGGGGGGCGGAUGAUGGCCUCCCGUGCGCCUAGCCGCGCGGUUGGCAUAAAUACCAAGUCCUCGGCGACGCACGCCACGACAAUCGGUGGUUGCGAAACCUCGGUUGCCCGUCGUGUGCGUUCGUCGCGCAUCGAGGGAUCGAAAAAAUGCUCGGCUCCGGCUCGGCUUUCAACGCGACCCCAGGUCAGGCGGGGUUACCCGCUGAAUUUAAGCAUAUCAAUAAGCGGAGGA
rnacentral:misc_RNA from 1 species